rnacentral:lncRNA from 1 species
AGAUGUCAAUUGCAUUAGUCACCAACUAGGAACACAAUUCUUCUUUUAAGUUUGGAUGGAGUAAAUAUGAAAUUCUAAGCAAUUGAAAAUGCUAAGUAGUUUAAUUGCAAUAAUUUAAUCCCGAUCAUUUUAAGAGUUUCUUGUCUAGCUGAUUGGUGAUGAAUAUUCUUUCAUUGAAAUAUAUCCAAACAAGUUGAUUCUUCGUAAGUCAUUUCAAA